UCUGUAGCUCAGUAGGUAGAGCAGGGGACUGAAAAUCCCCGUGUCGAUGGUUCGAUUCCGUCCGG
rnacentral:tRNA from 1 species